GACGAACGCUGGCGGCGUGCCUAACACAUGCAAGUCGAACGGAAAGGCCCUGCUUUCUUCUGGUGUCCGCGUGGCGCACGGGUGUGAUACCCGUGAGUAACCUGCCUUUGACUUUGGGAUAACUUCAGGAAACUGGGGCUAAUACCGGAUACGAGCUCGUGCUGGAUGGUGGGGGUUGGACCGUUUGGGUGGUUGGGGAUGGACUCGCGGGUUAUCAGCUUGUUGGUGGGGGAGUGGCUUACCAAGGCUUUGGUGGAUAGCCGGCCUGGGAGGGUGACCAGCGUCAAUGGGACUGAGGGACGGACCAGACUGCAACGGUAGGCAACGGUGGGGAGUAUUGCACAGUGGGCGGGAGCCUGAUGCGACGGCGCCGGGUGCGGGAAGACGGUCUUGUGGGUGUAAACGGCAGUCACCUGAUACGAAGCGUGAGUGACGGUAAUGAGUGAAGAAGCACCGGCUAACUACGUG
rnacentral:rRNA from 1 species